rnacentral:rRNA from 1 species
AAAGGAAUAGACGGGGGCCCGCACAAGCGGAGGAACAUGUGGUUUAAUUCGAUGAUACGCGAGGAACCUUACCCAGGCUUAAAUUGCAGAUGAAUAUGUGGGAAACCAUAUAGCCAGCAAUGGCAUCUGUGAAGGUGCUGCAUGGUUGUCGUCAGCUCGUGCCGUGAGGUGUCGGCUUAAGUGCCAUAACGAGCGCAACCCUUAUCGAUAGUUACUAACAGGUUAAGCUGAGGACUCUAUUGAGACUGCCGUCGUAAGAUGCGAGGAAGGUGGGGAUGACGUCAAAUCAGCACGGCCCUUACGUCUGGGGCUACACACGUGUUACAAUGGGGGGUACAGAAGGUCGCUACCUGGCAACAGGAUGCUAAUCCCAAAAACCUCUCACAGUUCGGAUUGGAGUCUGCAACUCGACUCCAUGAAGCUGGAUUCGCUAGUAAUCGCGCAUCAGCCACGGCGCGGUGAAUACGUUCCCGGGCCUUGUACACACCGCCCGU